rnacentral:rRNA from 1 species
UACCGAGGUCUCGAGCGUUGUUCGGAUUCAUUGGGCGUAAAGAGCGUGUAGGCGGCCAGGUAGGUCUGCUGUGAAAACUCGAGGCUUAACCUCGAGCUGUCGGCGGAAACCAUCUGGCUAGAGUCCGGAAGAGGAGAAUGGAAUUCCCGGUGUAGCGGUGAAAUGCGCAGAUAUCGGGAGGAACACCGGUGGCGAAGGCGGCAUCCUGGACCAACACUGACGCUGAGGAGCGAAAGCCAGGGGAGCAAACGGG